AACGAACGCUGGCGGCAUGCCUAACACAUGCAAGUCGAACGAGACCUUCGGGUCUAGUGGUGCACGGGUGCGUAGCGCGUGGGAACCUGCCCUUAUGUUCGGAAUAACUCCCCGAAAGGGGUCCUAAUAUCGGAUAAUGUCUUCGGACCAAAGAUUUAUCGCCUUUGGAUGGGCCCGCGUUGGAUUAGCUAGUUGGUAGGGUAAAAGCCUACCAAGGCGACGAUCCAUAGCUGGUCUGAGAGGAUGAUCAGCCACACUGGGACUGAGACACGGCCCAGACUCCUACGGGAGGCAGCAGUGGGGAAUAUUGGACAAUGGGCGAAAGCCUGAUCCAGCAAUGCCGCGUGAGUGAUGAAGGCCUUAGGGUUGUAAAGCUCUUUUACCCGGGAUGAUAAUGACAGUACCGGGAGAAUAAGCUCCGGCUAACUCCGUG
rnacentral:rRNA from 1 species